GAGGAAUCAAAGAAGAUCAAGUGAAGAUUUGAAAAGUUAUUAAAGAUCAAUCUCAUCCCGAAGCUACCAAUGUGCCAGGCCCACAUGCAAGUGAAAAUAAUACUCCUGAGCAUUUAAGAAGACUCGGAGAUGAAGCAGGAUGCGAGGGGCCAAAAGGAAGGUCCAGGCCCAUCGGCCUAGACCUUCCUAGGUCGAUCGUCCUGUGGGUUUGCUUCAUCCCCUUGCCUUCCAAUUUUUUCCACGUGCUCUCUGGACUAUAAGUACCCUGAAAAAAUCCACCGAGCCCCAAAUCGAAGAAGACGUACUCGAUGUGAAGCAGUAGAGAACGAGAAGGAGCUUGAGGGACACCUUUCAAGAGAGUCGAGGGCCGUGCAGUUGUCGGGGGUUAGGGUAGGUGAACCUCUGCCGGUGUUAUCAGCUUGCGAGGAAGAUCACGCUAGAGUUCUAGAGCUUGGAGUCAUCAAGAUCAAGGUAGGAUACCGGUGGUGAUCUUGUGAUGUGCAAUCAUUCAUGGUGAAGUAAUACAUGUGUUCAUGUUCUUAGCGAUCUAUGUAUCUCCUUUGAUGGUUUUGUGCUUUAUCGGGUUUGCUUAUUUUUUAGUCUAUGAAUUGAUGAUAGAUUGCUUAGGGUGUUCUACCGAUGAGUAUGACACGUUCCCUUGAUCGUGCCCUUAACCUGCUUGCACUGAUAGAGGUGAUUUUGAUAGGAUCUUUCUUUUGUAAGGUCGGGAUUUCAGGAUCCGGACCGGAGGUGUAGAUUUAAAGAUGCUUUUUACUAGGAUCAUAUCUGCGUUACUUUGCUAUCUAUGCUCAGAAUUACAACAUAUGCAUAGUCUAGGUUGCUCUAGAUUGGUUUUCUCUGCUCUAUCUAUUAUCUGUUAGUAUAUGCUUAGUAGAUUUGAUCUGAAUCACCAUAAACACUAAGUCCAUACUAAUAAUACUAGUUAAAAUAGAUCUUGUGCUAUAAGUUACACGGAUUGAUAAACCUUAGGGGAAUACUUUGAGGAAAGAGCUACAACUGAUUCGUGCACUUGCGGUUCACAACUUGGCAUGCUUAUAGCCAUCAAUAGGAUGUACAUAUGAACCUAGUGCUAACUCUUAGUCCUUCUUCCUAGCUUAGUUGUCUUGAGAUGAUUUCUGUGUAUGUAAUCUAUCAUAUCUUACCCCUACCUUGAGUAUUGUCUCUAUCCAUCUAUGGUAUACUCAUAUGCAUAUUAAACUCUUUUGACCUACCCGCUUUCCUUUGGGAAAUACGAUACCCUUGGGAAUACUCUACGGUGAAAUGCUCACUUUGUGGAAAUGAUCCAAAAGAUCCUCAUCAAUGUUCCACUACUGAAGGCAAUGUAGGUACCCAUAUAUGCACGUUAUCUCAAAG
rnacentral:lncRNA from 1 species